UUUACAAUGCUGGCAACAGUGAUAAGGGAACCCCGAGUGCCAGGAUACAACUCUGGCUGUCGAGAUGCCUAAAAAGCAUUUCAUAGCAAGGGCCGGGCAAGACCGGUGUCAGCCGCCGCGGUAACACCGGCGGCUCGAGUGGUAACCGUUAUGACUGGGUCUAAAGGGUCUGUAGCCGGCCGGAUAAGUCUCUUGAGAAAUCUGGCAGCUUAACUGUCAGGCUUUCAGGAGAUACUGUCUGGCUCGAGGCCGGGAG
rnacentral:rRNA from 1 species